CCGAUAUAAGGGGAUGGAGUUCCAGCUUCCUUCAGGUGAGAGGCGGCGUGCACCCUGGAUGUGUCGGUGCGUCUCCACGGUGCAGUCCUGAAUGAUGCAGAUGGGGAUGUAAUUCUCAGAUAUUCCUCGUGAGGGUUAAAGUGAUGAUAUCCUUCUAUAAAAUGGACAACAGACAGAAGAGACUCACUAUCCACACAACUGUUUAAUUUUCCAGCGCUGAUCAGAAGGUGGAAGAACUUCUUUAAGCAUCAGAUUCAUCUCAGUGGAGGGAACUACUUUGUUGUACCAGGUUCUGACUAAAGUUCUAUAGUUCGGUCACUAACAAAGUCCAAACCUCAAGAAUGUGAGUUUACUGGUUUAAUGAAAGGAUGGGUGGACAGACUGAAACAUCAGAAGGUUCUUUGACUGGUUCAUCUGGUGCAUUUAAUGACUUAAGAGAGGACUUAAUUUUCUCAUCAGGAUAAAAGUUGCUUACUUUAAUGUUGAGACUUUAGUCUAGACCAAACUGUUUGACCAGGACAAAACAGCAAAAACA